UACGAAGGGGGCUAGCGUUGCUCGGAAUCACUGGGCGUAAAGGGUGCGUAGGCGGGUCUUUUAAGUCAGGGGUGAAAUCCUGGAGCUCAACUCCAGAAACUGCCUUUUGAUACUGAGGAUCUUGAGUUCGGGAGAGGUGAGUGGACUGCGAGUGUAGAGGUGAAAUUCGUAGAUAUUCGCAAGAACACCAGUGGCGAAGGCG
rnacentral:rRNA from 1 species